GUAGACUCAGAGAAAACUUGCGAAGUUUAGGAUGGAGCUGAAGAGACUGGGUUCCGUCCUACGAUAAGGCAAAGGCACACCAUGAUGAGAAGUACCAGGACAGGCAGGAUCACAGCCAGAGCCACUGCUGAGGGGGAGAGACUCCCCACAGAUGGGGCUGAAACAGAAACCACCAACGACUGACCUCAGGGAGAUGUCUAAGAGCUUCUGGCAUGCCUCAGAUGGCAGGCGGCUCCAGCACAUCCCAACACUCUCCAUCACCUCUAGGGAGAGAGCUCCGGCCAAGAGGCUCUUUGCUUCUCUGAUAACUCAAGCCCUGGAUAGCAUUAAAGAUAACUGAGGCUGGGAACGGUGGCUCACGCCUGUAAUACCAGCACUUUGGGAGGCAGAGGCAGGAGGAUCAUCUGAGAUCAGGAGUUCAAGACCAGCUGGCCAAUGUGGGGAAACUCCGUGUCUACUAAAAAUACAAAAAUUAGCCAGGUGUGGUGGCGGGCACCUGUAAUCCCAGCUCUUCAGGAGGCUGAGGCAGGAGAAUCCCUUGAACCCGGGAGGCAGAGGUUGCAGUGAGCCAAGGUCACACCAUUGUACUCCAGCCUGGGUGACAAGAGUGAAACUCCAUCUCAAAAACAAACAAACAAACAAACAAACAAAAACUGAGAUGUUCCUCUCUCGGGAAUGGUUUGGAUGGUCCUGCCUCAAGAUGAUGACUUAAACAAACUUCUUGACCACAAUCUCAUCCUGCCCUAUAAUUCAAUGGAAAAAUAAGCCCGGGACUUCAGAGGACUGAAGGCACUCUCCUCACUACACACCUCCAGUCUUCCCAGGAGCACCUGCCUGUUUACCCCUGUCAAUCCUCACUCUGCUCUAGAAGAGCAGGCAGCAACCUCUUUGCCCUGAGCACUGUCCACGGGGGCAAAGCAAUUUCUAUGAUGCCGCAGCAGUAGGCCUGAAGCCUAGGCAGGAGAGAAAGGGGAAAAGAAAGAGGAAAUAGAGGAGAGGAAACGAGCAGAAGCGGGCUAUGGGUAGAAGUAGUUAAGAGCCUAAGCUGGGAGUAUGUCCUUGCUCAAUGCUGUGUGACCCAAAGCAGGAGACUGAGCACCUCCCAGCCCAUUGUCCCUCAUCUGUAAAAUGUGUGCAUGACAGGACUCCUUAUCUCUUUGAGGUUUGGAGAGAUUUAAAGAGGUCAGUCAUAUAAAGCAUUCAGUCUCCUAAGUAGCCGGGAUUACAGGCACAUGCCACCAUGCCUGGCUAGUUUUUGUAUUUUUUUGGUAGAGACAAGGUUUUGCCAUGUUGGCCAGGCUGGUCUCCAGUUCGUUUCAAGGAUCAUUAAAAGGUUCAGGCCAGGUGUGGUGACUCACACCUGUAAUCCUAGCACUUUGGGAGGCUGAAGCAGGAGUAUCACUACAGCUCAGGAGUUUCAGACCAGCCUGGGCAGCAUGGUGAGAGCUCAUCUUUAUUAUAAAUAAAAAAGAAAAAAUAAGUAAAAGGUUUGAACCCUUGGACCCAUUAAUUCUACUGCCAGAAGUACAUUAUUAAAAAAAAAAUCAAAAUCACUUUCCAAAAUACGUUCAAAGAUGUUCAUUGCACCCUUCAUUAUAAUAUGAGGAAAAUUUGGAAAGCAUCCAGAUGCCCAGAAACAGGGCUUUGAUUAAUUUUAUUAUUCUAUAGCCACAUGGCAAAAUACUAUGCAGCCCUUAAAAUCAUAUUACUUAGGGACAUGGGCAAAGAAAACAAAUGCUCAUGAUAUCAUAAGUGGAAAAAUAUCCUGGGCACAAGAAUACACAUGUGUAAACAUACAUGCUCAGAGAUACAUAUAUACAAAAAAGUCUUGCAAGAAAGAUACAAAAAUGUUAGCAGCAGUUCUCUCUAAUUUAAGCUAUUAUAGGCCAUUUUUCAGUUUCCUUUAAAUAUUUUGGAUUUUUUUCAAAUUUUCUACAAUAUAUAUGCUUUAUUCUUAGAAUUUAAAAAAAUUGAAAAUUCCUCAAAAAGUUCCUGCUAGGGUAGGAAUUUCCUCAGGAACCACCAGCGCCUUCAAACCUGUUUCCACCCCAGCUUUUACUUGUUAUGACCACAGCUGUGGUCUUCUCUUGGCCAAGGGCCAUGUUGUGGAUGGUUCAGGACACAUUCCCCAGUGUGCUGUCCCUGACUCUGCUAGACACUGCUAUUUGGAAGAGCCCAGCUUUUUCCAGAGAGUGGGCCUCUGACAGGGAUGGAAGUACCCUGCCUUGAGGUUCUCUCCACUUGGCCCAGGGCUCUGGGAACCAUCCCACCUAUCUGCACACCAGCAGGGCCUCUGCCAGGGUAUGGUCCUGGCCAUGGCCCUCUUCCCCCAUAGCCUCCUGUGAUGAACAGGGGCAGCUGUUAAUGGAACUUGUCCUCUCUCCACUCUCUCCCCACGCUCCUCCUAAUGGGAUAAGCCAGUCUCUAGCUUUAUUCUCAGACAUUUAAAAAUUCACCCAUAGCAAUAACUGUAUCACAUGAUUCAGAUUCCUGUGGGCACCUCGGUCCCCUUUUAAAAAUUACUUUUCAGCUGGGCAUGGUGGCUCAUGCCUGUAAUUCCAGCACUUUGGGAGGCUGAGGUGGGAGGAUCACCUGAGGUCGGGAGAUUGAGAUCAGCCUGACCAACAUGAAGAAACCCCGUCUCUACUAAAAAUACAAAAAUUAGCCGGGCGUGGUGGCACAUGCCUGUAAUCCAGCUACUCGGGAGGCUGAGGCAGGAGAAUCACUUGAACCUGGGAGGCGGAGGUUGUGGUGAGCCCAGAUAGCAUCAUUGCACUCCAGCCUGGGCAACAAGAGUGAAACUCCAUCUCCAAAAAAAAGAAAAAAGAAAAAAAAAUUAGUUGGCCAUGGUGGCGGGCACCAGUAAUCCCAGCUAACUCAGGAGGCUGAGGCAGGAGAAUCACCUGAACCCAGGAGGCGAAGUUGCAGUGAGCCAAGAUUGCACCAAUGCACUCCAGCCUGGGCAACAAGAGCAACACUCCAUCUCAAAAAAAAAAAAAAAAAAAAAAAAAAAAAUUAAUUUUCACCCCAAAGGACUCCAAUUUGGAAAGUCUGUCUACCAACUACUGAGUGUUUUAAAGUAAUUGAUUCAUCCCCACUUCAUGGUGUGUGACUUCAAAUUAUGACCAAAAGAUAAUCAGCAUGUGACCAUGUGAAGCCAGUGUCAUUCAAGCAAAUGCAAAGACAUGGUUUGGGUUGGGUUGAGUUGGGUUUGGUUUGGUAGACUGAUUUUUUAAAAUAUUAGUAGACUGAUUUUUGUGGA
rnacentral:lncRNA from 1 species